rnacentral:misc_RNA from 1 species
AAGUCGUAACAAGGUUUCCGUAGGUGAACCUGCGGAAGGAUCAUUAUCACGUAUCCACGUAUAAACCAUUGUGAACUGUAAAACUUUUUUUUAAAAAGAAGUAGGAUUUUGCGUUAAUUCGCACUAUUCUCUUUUUUUUAAAUAAUUAACUAUUUAAACCUUUAAUUAAUAAUUGAACUGAUUUUAUUUCUUACUCUUCGGAGAAGAAAUUUUAUUACGAAACAAAGAACAACUCUUAGCAACGGAUAUCUUGGUUCUC